GACGAACGCUGGCGGCGUGCUUAACACAUGCAAGUCGAACGGAAAGGCCCUGCUUUUGUGGAGUGCUCGAGUGGCGAACGGGUGAGUAACACGUGAGUAACCUGCCCUUGACUUUGGGAUAACUUCAGGAAACUGGGGCUAAUACCGGAUAGGAGCUCCUGCUGCAUGGUGGGGGUUGGAAAGUUUCGGCGGUUGGGGAUGGACUCGCGGCUUAUCAGCUUGUUGGUGGGGUAGUGGCUUACCAAGGCUUUGACGGGUAGCCGGCCUGAGAGGGUGACCGGCCACAUUGGGACUGAGAUACGGCCCAGACUCCUACGGGAGGCAGCAGUGGGGAAUAUUGCACAAUGGGCGGAAGCCUGAUGCAGCAACGCCGCGUGCGGGAUGACGGCCUUCGGGUUGUAAACCGCUUUCGCCUGUGACGAAGCGUGAGUGACGGUAAUGGGUAAAGAAGCACCGGCUAACUAUGUG
rnacentral:rRNA from 1 species